rnacentral:lncRNA from 10 species
CUUGAGGGAAGUAGGGCCCUGUCCUUGACCACUUACCAGGGCCUGUCCCUCAUUCACCCGACCCAACUUUGCUGGGGGGUGUGAGGUGGGGUAAUUUAUUCAGUUCUAACCAGGAAAGGUAAAAUUAUAACAGGAUUAAUAACACAAGUGUCAUGGCCUUCCAAGGGCCCCAAGACGAUCCCAUCCCCCUUCCCUGCUCAGAACCUGCCUGUCCUGCACCCUGGCCUGUCCUCUGGAGGUUAUCUGAUGAGGGCCUAUUCUGAGGGAAGCCCUCCCUGACUGCAGGUGCCUCCUUAGACUCCUCCAUCCCGGUGCUGGAUCUGGCAUGACCUCUGAAGUGCCCGGUGUCCAGCCUGGCAGAGUGGACGACGAGAAACAGGGGGCCCAGGCCCCAGCUUCAGCAUCAAGCCACCCAGGACAUGCAUCUGGCCUUUUGGAAAAUAGCCUGGAGAAUGCAGAGGAGAGGCUGCAGUCAGGCUGGCUGUGGCUGGAAAGAACCUGCUGUGGAUGAAGUUGACCUGGGACCCACGUGACCUGAGUGAAAAGAGCUAUGGGUUUGCAGGGGACACCGGUGCCCUGCUGCAGGUGGUUCUAGAGCUAGGUAUCCUGCAUCGUGACUUGAGCAAGUCAUGAACCCACUCUGAGCCUCAGUUUCCCACUCUGUUUUUGGUGUUUGGUUUGGUUUGGUUUUGAGACAGGGUCUCACCCUGUUGCCCAGGCUGGAGUCCAGUGGCACAAUCUCGGCUCACUGCAGCCUCUACCUCCUGAGCUCAAGCGAUCCUCCCACCUCAGUCUCCCAAGUAGCUGAGACUACAGGUGUGUGCCACCACACCCCACUAAUUUUUUGUACAGAUCUAGUUUCACCAUGUUGCCCAGGCUGGUCUGAACUCCUGGGCUCAAGCAAUUCUCCUCCCUCGGCCUCCCAAAGCACUGGGAUUACAGGCGUGAGCCACUGCACCGGGCCUCCACCUCUACUUUGGGGACAAUGUUAUCACUUGCCUUAUGGAAUCGUUGUAAGGAGGAAAUGUGUAGACUUGGUGAUUUUUGUUUCUCCUCGGAGUCUUCCCCUGGAUCCCAACUCACCCCUCCAGCUCCCACUUCACCAUGAGCCCAUGGAGACAUGAGCCCCAGAAGAGCUCUUUCUCUGGUCUCUAUUGCAGCAAGAAGUACCUGUGGGCACACUGGAGCAUAGGCCUUGAUGUUUGCAGUGCUCCAGGCAAAAGGACAAGUGGAGGCUCACAUACCAGAAUCUAAAUAUUAAACAACCAUAAAUCAAGCUGCUAAUGAAAUGUGUUCUAUCCUCCUACUGAACAAAUAAGCUUUCAUAGGAGUAAAAACAUCUGUAAAUCUACAGUUUUUAUAUAUCUGAAAGUCAGCAGAUAUCCAAAAUGAUGAAACUUAGUAAUUAUCACUCAUGUCCAGGUGUUCAGUGACCUGAGGUUUAAGUGAGAGAAUGAAGACUUGCCUGAUGCCUAAGAUAUUCUGUAUUUAUUCUGUAACAUUGAUUCUCCUCGUCUUUAGUCUAGUAAAAUGAUUGAUUAUGUUGUUACAGUCAAGACUUCUACACUAUUACUGUUCUUUUCAUAGUAAUGAUUAAAAAGAUUAAAAUAAGGCUGGGCAUGGUGGCUCACACAUGUAAUCCCAGAGCUUUGAGAAACCAAAGUGACAGGAUUGCUUGAGGCAGGAGUUCAAGUUUACAGUAAGCUAUGACUAUACUACUGUACUCCAGACUGGGCAACAGAGCAAGACCCUGUCUAUAAAAAAAAUAAUAAUUUUUAAAAAGACUAAAAUAAAAUAUUGGCCAGGUGUGGUGGCUCACACCUGU